CUUAAAAUGCAAAUAAUAACCAGAAGUUAAAAGUGCUAAGAAUAUGUCCGUCUGAGGACUGGACUAGUAUGUUUAAUGAAUUAGAUGGUUUAUAUAUUAAAUGUAGCAAACAAGGGGUUAAAUUGAAUAUGCACCAAGGAGAUAAGGUAUCUUAUCUUCCUCUGUGUGGAUACGAAUCAAUCAAUUUGUUCCUCUUCUUCGUUUCAGUUCUACACGGGAGACACCGGCCGUGGUUCUCGAGCAAAAUUCAAGCAUGCGGCCCUGUAGCGAAAGGAGCUUGGCCGAGGGCUGCGGGUGCGGACGCCUCCGUUCCAAGAGAAGCCUCGUCAGGAGAGAGCAGCAUCGGGGUCAAAGGCCGCCGCGCGUGCUGGGAACUCAGGCAUCACCGUGCGUCGCGCCGAGGUCAAAGGCGACGGCUGCGCUGGUCGAAAAUUCUACAUGGUGACACUGCCGCCGCGCUGCGGUGAAGUUUGAGGCUGAAGCAACGCCGGACGGGCUGCCGUUGAGACGAGCGCGAGUCCGCGUUACGCUUCGGAGGGCGCCGCUGCCCUGCCGGCCGUGGGCCGCCGUGACCGCGUCCUCGGACGCUGCUGUGCCACGAGGAUCGAGCCGAAGGCUGCGGGGGUGCUACGCCGUUGGGGGUCGCCUUCGCCGCCGUCCCGGUUGUGUGCGCGCCGGAGGGUGCAGCCACACAGUGCGCCUGCCAUUAGCCGGAGUCGUGCGCUGAGGAGCGCUAGCCACCGCGCCGCAGGAGUCGCGAGCUCGGGUGCCUCCAUGCCACGAGGGGCGAAGGAGCCACACGAGGACUCUUGCGGAGGCCGAAGGCCAUGGGUGCUGGGCUUGGGCGCCGCCGUAGUUGCAAACUCGGCCUCGUCAAGAACGUCUCGCCGACCGCCGGUCCUUUUCUUAUGGCCUAUCGCUCUACUGGAGAGCAAAGUGCGUGAUAACGUGUUUAGAAUAAAAGUAUUGAGAGAUGAACUAUCGAUUUCA